CUGCCCCUGGCAUUGAAAGUGUGUUUUUUGUAAUGUAUGUGGCAUAGGUUCCUGUACCUUUAAGAGGGAAUGCUCUAAGGGAGGGGCUGCUAGUUAGGUGACCGGAAGUCACAAGCACGUUAUUCACAUAGAGAGCAUGCAGGAUCGACAGCUUGAUCAGCUCUUCCAUUAAGAUGCAGUUCCACAUCUUCUUGUUUGUUAAAGCAACGUCUUUUCACGAAAUUACCAUUAAACUACAUGAGUAAUCCUCAA